UGAUGAAGAACGUAGCGAAAUGCGAUAAGUAAUGUGAAUUGCAGAAUUCAGUGAAUCAUCGAAUCUUUGAACGCACAUUGCGCCCGCCAGUAUUCUGGCGGGCAUGCCUGUCCGAGCGUCAUUUCAACCCUCGAACCCCUCCGGGGGUCCGGCGUUGGGGAUCGGGAACCCCUAAGACGGGAUCCCGGCCCCGAAAUACAGUGGCGGUCUCGCCGCAGCCUCUCAUGCGCAGUAGUUUGCACAACUCGCACCGGGAGCGCGGCGCGUCCACGUCCGUAAAACACCCAACUUCUGAAAUGUUGACCUCGGAUCAGGUAGGAAUACCCGCUGAACUUAAGCAUAUCAAUAAGCGGAGGA
rnacentral:misc_RNA from 1 species